GAUGAACGCUGGCGGCGUGCCUAAUACAUGCAAGUCGAGCGAACGGACGAGAAGCUUGCUUUUCUGAUGUUAGCGGCGGACGGGUGAGUAACACGUGGAUAACCUACCUAUAAGACUGGGAUAACUUCGGGAAACCGGAGCUAAUACCGGAUAAUAUUUUGAACCGCAUGGUUCAAAAGUGAAAGACGGUCUUGCUGUCACUUAUAGAUGGAUCCGCGCUGCAUUAGCUAGUUGGUAAGGUAACGGCUUACCAAGGCAACGAUGCAUAGCCGACCUGAGAGGGUGAUCGGCCACACUGGAACUGAGACACGGUCCAGACUCCUACGGGAGGCAGCAGUAGGGAAUCUUCCGCAAUAGGCGAAAGCCUGACGGAACAACGCCGCGUGAGUGAUGAAGGUCUUCGGAUCGUAAAACUCUGUUAUUAGGAAAGAACAUAUGUGUAAGUAACUGUGCACAUCUUGACGGUACCUAAUCAGAAGGCCACGACUAACUACGUG
rnacentral:rRNA from 1 species